rnacentral:rRNA from 1 species
CGCGUAGGCGGCUUGUCAAGUCACUUGUGAAAUCUCUGGGCUUAACCCAGAACGGCCAAGUGAAACUGACAUGCUAGAGUGCAGAAGGGGCAAUCGGAAUUCUUGGUGUAGCGGUGAAAUGCGUAGAUAUCAAGAGGAACACCUGAGGUGAAGACGGGUUGCUGGGCUGACACUGACGCUGAGGCGCGAAAGCCAGGGGAGCAAACG